rnacentral:rRNA from 1 species
GGUUAAGUGACUAAGCGUACAUGGUGGAUGCCUUGGCAGUCAGAGGCGAUGAAGGACGUACUAACCUGCGAUAAGCCGUGAGCAGUCGGUAAGAGACAUUACGACUCACGGAUUUCCGAAUGGGGAAACCCACUUAGCAUAAGCUAGGUAUCGCUGCGUGAAUACAUAGCGUAGCGAGGCGAACCGGGAGAACUGAAACAUCUAAGUACCCCGAGGAAAAGAAAUCAACCGAGAUUCCCUCAGUAGCGGCGAGCGAACGGGGAUUAGCCCUUAAGCAUCUUGGAAGUUAGUGGAACGGUCCUGGAAAGGCCGGCGAUACAGGGUGAUAGCCCCGUACACGAAAACAACCUUGAUGUGAAAUCGAGUAGGGCGGGACACGUGACAUCCUGUCUGAAUAUGGGGGGACCAUCCUCCAAGGCUAAAUACUCCUGACUGACCGAUAGUGAACCAGUACCGUGAGGGAAAGGCGAAAAGAACCCCUGUGAGGGGAGUGAAAUAGAACCUGAAACCGUGUACGUACAAGCAGUGGGAGCCCUUCGGGGUGACUGCGUACCUUUUGUAUAAUGGGUCAGCGACUUACAUUUUGUAGCGAGGUUAACCGUAUAGGGGAGCCGUAGGGAAACCGAGUCUUAACUGGGCGUCUAGUUGCAAGGUGUAGACCCGAAACCGGGUGAUCUAGCCAUGGGCAGGUUGAAGGUUGAGUAACAUCAACUGGAGGACCGAACCCACUAACGUUGCAAAGUUAGGGGAUGACCUGUGGCUGGGGGUGAAAGGCCAAUCAAACUCGGAGAUAGCUGGUUCUCCCCGAAAGCUAUUUAGGUAGCGCCUCGGACGAAUACUACUGGGGGUAGAGCACUGUUUGGGCUAGGGGGUCAUCCCGACUUACCAACCCCAUGCAAACUCCGAAUACCAGUAAGUAAUAUCCGGGAGACACACGGCGGGUGCUAACGUCCGUCGUGAAGAGGGAAACAACCCAGACCGCCGGCUAAGGUCCCAAAGUUCUGGUUAAGUGGGAAACGAUGUGGGAAGGCUCAGACAGCUAGGAUGUUGGCUUAGAAGCAGCCAUCAUUUAAAGAAAGCGUAAUAGCUCACUAGUCGAGUCGGCCUGCGCGGAAGAUGUAACGGGGCUCAAACCAGGCACCGAAGCCGCGGAUUCACACUAAGUGUGAGUGGUAGGGGAGCGUUCUGUAAGUCUGCGAAGGUGUGUCGAGAGGCAUGCUGGAGAUAUCAGAAGUGCGAAUGCUGACGUAAGUAACGAUAAAGGGGGUGAAAAGCCUCCUCGCCGGAAGACCAAGGGUUCCUGUCCAACGUUAAUCGGGGCAGGGUGAGUCGACCCCUAAGGCGAGGCCGAAAGGCGUAGUCGAUGGGAAGCAGGUUAAUAUUCCUGCACGACUUGUAAUUGCGAUGGGGGGACGGAGAAGGCUAGGUGGGCCAGGCGACGGUUGUCCUGGUGAAAGUGCGUAGGUGGUGUUUCUAGGCAAAUCCGGAGACACAACACUGAGACACGAGACGAACACACUACGGUGUGGAAGCCAUUGAUGCCCUGCUUCCAGGAAAAGCCUCUAAGCUUCAGAUUACAAGUCAUCGUACCCCAAACCGACACAGGUGGUCGGGUAGAGAAUACCAAGGCGCUUGAGAGAACUCGGGUGAAGGAACUAGGCAAAAUAGAACCGUAACUUCGGGAGAAGGUUCGCUCUUGACAGUGAAGUCCCUUGCGGAUGGAGCAGUUGGGAGUCGCAGUGACCAGAUGGCUGGGACUGUUUAUCAAAAACACAGCACUCUGCAAACACGAAAGUGGACGUAUAGGGUGUGACACCUGCCCGGUGCCGGAAGGUUAAUUGAUGGGGUUAGCGCAAGCGAAGCUCUUGAUCGAAGCCCCGGUAAACGGCGGCCGUAACUAUAACGGUCCUAAGGUAGCGAAAUUCCUUGUCGGGUAAGUUCCGACCUGCACGAAUGGUGUAACCAUGGCCAUGCUGUCUCCACCCGAGACUCAGUGAAAUCGAAUUCGCCGUGAAGAUGCGGUGUACCCGCGGCUAGACGGAAAGACCCCGUGAACCUUUACUACAGCUUGGCACUGAACAUUGAACCUACAUGUGUAGGAUAGGUGGGAGGCUUUGAAGGCGUGACGCCAGUUGCGCUGGAGCCGUCCUUGAAAUACCACCCUUGUAUGUUUGAUGUUCUAACGCAGGCCCCUGAAUCGGGGUCGCGGACAGUGCCUGGUGGGUAGUUUGACUGGGGCGGUCUCCUCCCAAAGAGUAACGGAGGAGCACGAAGGUUGGCUAAUCCUGGUCGGACAUCAGGAGGUUAGUGCAAUGGCAUAAGCCAGCUUAACUGCGAGACGGACAGGUCGAGCAGGUACGAAAGUAGGUCAUAGUGAUCCGGUGGUUCUGAAUGGAAGGGCCAUCGCUCAACGGAUAAAAGGUACUCCGGGGAUAACAGGCUGAUACCGCCCAAGAGUUCAUAUCGACGGCGGUGUUUGGCACCUCGAUGUCGGCUCAUCACAUCCUGGGGCUGAAGUCGGUCCCAAGGGUAUGGCUGUUCGCCAUUUAAAGUGGUACGCGAGCUGGGUUCAGAACGUCGUGAGACAGUUCGGUCCCUAUCUGCCGUGGGCGUUGGAUGAUUGAAGGGAGUUGCUCCUAGUACGAGAGGACCGGAGUGAACGAACCUCUGGUGUUCGGGUUGUCACGCCAGUGGCACUGCCCGGUAGCUAAGUUCGGAAUCGAUAACCGCUGAAAGCAUCUAAGCGGGAAGCGAGCCCUGAGAUGAGUCAUCCCUGACCCCUUGAGGGUCCUAAAGGGCCGUUGGAGACCACAACGUUGAUAGGUGGGGUGUGUAAGCGCGGCGACGUGUUGAGCUAACCCAUACUAAUUACCCGUGAGGCUUAACCAU